rnacentral:rRNA from 1 species
UACGGAGGGGGCUAGCGUUGUUCGGAAUUACUGGGCGUAAAGCGCGCGUAGGCGGCUUUGCAAGUCAGAGGUGAAAGCCCGGGGCUCAACCCCGGAAUUGCCUUUGAGACUGCAUCGCUAGAAUUGUGGAGAGGUAAGUGGAAUUCCGAGUGUAGAGGUGAAAUUCGUAGAUAUUCGGAAGAACACCAGUGGCGAAGGCGACUUACUGGACGACUGUUGACGCUGAGGUGCGAAAGCGUGGGGAGCAAACAGGAUUAGAUACCUUGUAGUCC